GGAGGGGUCUGGCUCAGUGGAAAAGCAUCUGCUUGGCAUGCGGAAGGGCCCAGGUUCAAUCCCCAUCACCUCCA
rnacentral:tRNA from 1 species